GACGAACGCUGGCGGCGUGCUUAACACAUGCAAGUCGAACGCUGAAGCUCAGCUUUUGUUGGGUGGAUGAGUGGCGAACGGGUGAGUAACACGUGAGUAACCUGCCUCCUUCUUUGGGAUAACGCCCGGAAACGGGUGCUAAUACUGGAUAUUCACUGGUCUUCGCAUGGGGGUUGGUGGAAAGGGUUUUUCUGGUGGGGGAUGGGCUCGCGGCCUAUCAGCUUGUUGGUGGGGUGAUGGCCUACCAAGGCUUUGACGGGUAGCCGGCCUGAGAGGGUGACCGGUCACAUUGGGACUGAGAUACGGCCCAGACUCGUACGGGAGGCAGCAGUGGGGAAUAUUGCACAAUGGGCGCAAGCCUGAUGCAGCGACGCCGCGUGAGGGAUGGAGGCCUUCGGGUUGUGAACCUCUUUCGCUCAUGGUCAAGCCGCAACAAUGGUUGUGGUGAGGGUAGUGGGUAAAGAAGCGCCGGCUAACUACGUG
rnacentral:rRNA from 1 species